rnacentral:rRNA from 1 species
CGUUAGCGGCGGACGGGUGAGUAACACGUGGGUAACCUACCUAUAAGACUGGGAUAACUUCGGGAAACCGGAGCUAAUACCGGAUAAUAUUUCGAACCGCAUGGUUCGAUAGUGAAAGAUGGUUUUGCUAUCACUUAUAGAUGGAUCCGCGCCGUAUUAGCUAGUUGGUAAGGUAACGGCUUACCAAGGCGACGAUACGUAGCCGACCUGAGAGGGUGAUCGGCCACACUGGAACUGAGACACGGUCCAGACUCCUACGGGAGGCAGCAGUG